rnacentral:rRNA from 1 species
AGACCUUAGGCAAUGGAUGUCUUGGCUCCUUACACGAUGAAGAACGUUGCAUAAUGCGAUAAGCGGCUGGAGUAGCUAACAUUGUGACAAGUUCGAUCUUUGAAUGCAAAUUGCGC